AGCAGUCGCCACGGGAAUACGAAGGGGGCUAGCGUUGUUCGGAAUUACUGGGCGUAAAGCGCACGUAGGCGGAUAUUUAAGUCAGGGGUGAAAUCCCGCAGCUCAACUGCGGAACUGCCUUUGAUACUGGGUAUCUUGAGUAUGGAAGAGGUUAGUGGAAUUGCGAGUGUAGAGGUGAAAUUCGUAGAUAUUCGCAGGAACACCAGUGGCGAAGGCGGCUAACUGGUCCAUAACUGACGCUGAGGUGCGAAAGCGUGGGGAGCAAACAGGAUUAGAUACCCCAGUAGUCCCUGUCUCUUAUAC
rnacentral:rRNA from 1 species